rnacentral:tRNA from 1 species
GCGGGUAUAGUUUAGUGGUAGAAUGCCAUGCUUCCGACCUGGUCGCGCGAGUUCGAUUCUCGCUACCCGCUCCA